rnacentral:rRNA from 1 species
GACGAACCGAGCGAACGUUGUUCGGAAUCACUGGGCUUAAAGGGCGCGUAGGCGGGCUGCCAAGUUUGGGGUGAAAUCCUCCGGCUCAACCGGGGAAGGGCCUCGAAUACUGGCGGUCUGGAGGGAGGUAGGGGCGUGCGGAACUGUAGGUGGAGCGGUGAAAUGCGUAGAUAUCAAGUGGAACACCAGUGGCGAAGGCGAGUCCCUGGACAACUCCUGACACUGAGGCACGAAAGCUAGGGGAGCAAACAGG